GAUACUGGCAGACUUGAGGCCGGUAGAGGAAGGUGGAACUCCCGGUGUAGCGGUGAAAUUCGUAGAUAUUCGGAGGAACACCGGUGGCGAAGGCGGCUGUCUGGGCCUGUACUGACGCUGAGGAGCGAAAGCGUGGGGAGCAAACAGGAUUAGAUACCCUGGUAGUCCACGCCGUAAACGA
rnacentral:rRNA from 1 species